AUGGAAAAUAUUGUACCAUUUCAGUUCUCUAUUUCUAUUGCCAUGAGGAGCUUCCGGAGCCUUGAGUUUUGUCAAGGGAAGUUGUCAUGGGAUCCGGGCAUCGGGGCCCUUCUCUAUUUCUUCGUAUUUUUUGCUCAAACUGAAGUAACAGGAAGGAGGAAUCUUGCAGCUCCAGCUUUCUACUCAGACAAUGCAUGUGUCGACCACCCCUACUACCUCGACGCAUUUUGUGACCAAGUGAACAUCAGCGACGACUACUUCCUUGAGCAAGUCGGCGUUUUCUGCUCCCUUAAUCUUGCCAAGUUCCACCUCAACUACGACACCCACCGCGACCUGGGCGAAAUCAUGAAGCAUCAAGUAACAUGGGAUCCAGGAGGUUCGACAUGGCAUCGGCUUGAGGUCAAGCCAGAUUUCAAGGAAGGGGGAAUGUUAGCGACCGCCCCUACUCUCGUCAUGGGCUGGACUAUUGGGCGCGCAUAUUGGGCCUGGGCUACUGGAAGGCAGCGACUACAAAUACAAGUGAACAGGCUACGGACUACUCGGUUAGGAUUUGGACGGCUUCGGCCUCCUCUGCUUCUGUAUCUUCUUCCUCUCGUGCUCCUCUCCUCCUCUAUACUAGCUAAACCUUGGUGA
rnacentral:rRNA from 1 species